rnacentral:rRNA from 1 species
AUUGAACGCUGGCGGCAUGCCUUACACAUGCAAGUCGAACGGCAGCACGGGGCAACCUGGUGGCGAGUGGCGAACGGGUGAGUAAUGCAUCGGAACGUACCUUUCAGUGGGGGAUAACGUAGCGAAAGUUACGCUAAUACCGCAUAUUCUGUGAGCAGGAAAGCAGGGGAUCGCAAGACCCUGCGCUGAUUGAGCGGCCGAUGUCAGAUUAGCUAGUUGGUGAGGUAAAGGCUCACCAAGGCGACGAUCUGUAGCGGGUCUGAGAGGAUGAUCCGCCACACUGGAACUGAGACACGGUACAGACUCCUACGGGAGGCAGCAGUGGGGAAUUUUGGACAAUGGGGGCAACCCUGAUCCAGCCAUGCCGAGUGAGUGAAGAAGGCCUUCGGGUUGUAAAGCUCUUUCGGCCGGGAAGAAAUCGCACGGGCUAAUACCCUGUGUGGAUGACGGUACCGGAAUAAGAAGCACCGGCUAACUACGUGCCAGCCGCCGCCGUAACAC